rnacentral:lncRNA from 1 species
GAGCAGAUAAAAAUAAAACAAACAGAAUUGAAUAAAAGGAUAUAAAACCAAACUUUACUACGAGAAAGGGUUUGAAGCCAUACCUAACCAGAUGCCUCAAAAGGCCUUGACCAGUCCUAUUUAUAUCUUAUCCUACCACCCUAGAUUUUCUAAAAUAUUCUUAGGUAGUGGGCUCUAUCUAAAUAAUCACCUUAAGUCUUUUUGAGAAGGUUUUAUGGUAGGUCCUA